GGACCUGACUGCUAUCGGAUUGAUACUAAGCCAUGCGAGUCAUUGUAGCAAUACAAGGCAUACGGCUCAGUAACGCGUAGUCAACCUAACCUAUGGACGGGAAUAACCUCGGGAAACUGAGAAUAAUUCCCGAUAGAACAUUAUGCCUGGAAUGGUUUAUGUUCCAAAUGAUUUAUCGCCGUAGGAUGGGACUGCGGCCCAUCAGUUUGUUGGUGAGGUAAUGGCCCACCAAGACUAUUACAGGUACGGGCUCUGAGAGGAGUAGCCCGGAGAUGGGUACUGAGACACGGACCCAGGCCCUAUGGGGCGCAGCAGGCGAGAAAACUUUGCAAUGUGCGAAAGCACGACAAGGUUAAUCCGAGUGGUUUCUGCUAAAGAAACCUUUUGUCAGUCCUAGAAACACUGAUGAAUAAGGGGUGGGCAAGUUCUGGUGU
rnacentral:rRNA from 1 species